CAGACACAGAGAGAGCUCCACGGGAAGGCCGGGGUUCUGCUGCUACAGGCAAGCAGCUCCCAGGAGCUGGACAGCCCUGGGGCAGGUCCUCUCUAGUGGCCUUAGAGGGAGCCUAGCCCUGGGGCACCAUGAUCACAGGCUUCUGACCUCCAGACUGGGAGAGAAUAAAUUUUUUCAGCUUUAACCUGCAGAGUGCAAAGCCACAGGUGUCUCCCUGGAGAACUGCGGAGGGGCCUCUACAGCACAGACCCUGCCUGUGUCAUGGGCAUACAGAAGAAUCCAUGCAGGUUUCCCAACGGGCAGGAUCCUGAUGAGGGGCCAGUUCUUCUGAAGCAGGAGCAGCUGACUGUGUAGGGAGACUGCUGACCGUCCGGCCCCGGUGUCUUCAGCAGCCACGGUUGCCUUAAGCAGGCAUAAAGAAGAAAUACCUGCAAAAGUGGGACUCCUUGUGCAAGAACCCACAUUUGCAAAUGGGGCAGGUCCACCCCAGAAGGGUGCUGAGCAAGUUUAGAUGUCUGGGACUGGCCUGUCCUGCUGUCCGAGGGGUCCUUUUUCAGGGCCAGGCUCAGUGGGGAGAGGACGCCGGGUGGGCUGCCUGUGCUGGUGGGCCAGUGACGGGUGAGCUGCCUGCACAGUGGGCCGGUGCAGCCCCCAAGCGGACAGCCUGCCCGUUGGAACCAAGAGUCAUUUAAUUUGUUUAAAGCCCAAGUGUAAAGAGACAUGGCAACUUUAAUGCUGAGGGGCCCAGAGUUCUUCAGAAGACGCAUCCAGAAACAAUUUCCUUCCUUAAAACUGAAUUCUGCCUUACAAUAGGAAACUCGGUAAAAUCUGUGAGCAGAAGACUUGCAAACUUUUACUCUCAACAUCUUUGAAUGGCCAUUUCUCCUUUUGGUCCACCUCUCAAGCUGCACUGCACAUGAUAACGUUUCUAAUGCUCCAACUUAAUCUUUUUCUCAGAAUCUUUUCAUUUGCUGAUAUUUUGGUUUCCUGUUUUUUCUCAGUAAUAAAGUUUCUAGUGAGAAGGUUCAGCAGAGAAUGGGCCGUGCGGCCUUGCUGCUGUCUCCCUGGCGUUGCCAGCUCUGUCAGUUGGCUGUGGAGCCCUCGGCAUCUUCCGCGACCCACUCCUUUCUUGUAUACUUGGGUCACGGUUGGUUCUGGGUCAUCAGACCGUUCCGUCACUGCUGUGAGCAUCAUGAUGGGCCCUGGCAGACUUCCCUCUAGAUCCCCCCGGCUGCCUCCGUCUGACCAGCAAACGUGGGAGGGCUGCUUGGGGAAGCAGGCAGGAGUGAGGCCACGGAUCAGGAGGAGACGCAGCCCCGAGGAGGAAGAAGAGGAAGGUGUCACUUGAGAGGGCCCAAAGAGUCUGCCCUGCCGGGGCACCGAGGUCAAAGGGCAUCUUGAGUAUGGGAAAGGACGUGCCUGCCGCUCCCCAGGGCACCUUGGUGGCAUCCGCAGAGGGAAGGCAGCCCCAGCAGCCCCCUGCGGUGACAGCAAACAGCCAGGCGGCCAGGAAGGCCCCUGCGGUGACAGCCCCGGGUCACAGGGUCAGAAGCGGCCCACCAAGACCUGGGGCCUGGCAGCCCGGCUCCUGGUCCUCCCUGGUGUAGAUGAUCGACCCACAUGGCAAGACCAGGAGCGUUCCAGGGUCCCUUGGACAUGCGUGAUGUGCCACAGGCCUGUAUGGCGUCCCGCCCGCUGGCCAAGCACCUGGCAUUGCCACUCGGAGUUGAAGAAGGGCAGCCUCACCUGGGAGAGGCGUUCCUUGAAUCCCGCACCUCACAUGAGGAUUCCAGAAGCAUCUUGCCAAGCAGAGCAUCUUUCCUAGCUACGUCAGGGGAAACACCCAUCACCCUUCCUGCUCACCCAAGAGCCCCAAGAGGGGUCGUCUUCAGGCCCACCUGCCCAUGUGGACUCUCCACGCUCUUUGACCCCAAGGAAAAAGGUCAAAUGCCAUGUUCUCUGCUGCCUUCUUGAGGGACACUUCAGAUCUGGCUGAGGGAACCAUGCCAGGUGAGGUCAAAGGGCAUGACUUCUUCUAAGGCAGAAAAUCCACCUGUGGAGGGUACAGGUGUGGUGUCAGCCCUGAGUGAGCUGCCUGCAAAGCAGGGACCUUUCCCAGCUUCCAGUGCCAACAAAACCACACUGCACAGCCACUGGGAGGUGAGGCCAGGCUGGGCUCCACGACCUCUGUCCAUCCGUGGACAGCAGCACACCCCAGCCCAGGAUGAGAUGCAGGGAGGACGCAGCCCCCAACGCAGGCCGCCGUGGGAUCUGCCAGGUCUCAGCAGGUCAGUGACCGCUCCAGGCAGAGUCUUCCUCCUGGGUGAUGCAGCUUUGAAACACCUGCCUUCAGCCGCCGUCUCUUUCCUCAUUCUGCGUAAAUAUUCAAUUUCGUAUCAAUUUAGCAUUGGUGAUUAUGUACCAUUUAUCUUAAAGAGAACCUCUGAAGUUAUCUAAGGCCCUGGCCCUGUGAAAUGUGGACCAGAGUGGGAGUGGAUCGUGGGGAGCUGCCACCUUCUCCCAGAGUCCCUGCGGCAUUCAAGGAUGACAGCCCAGGGCGUCUUCUGCAGAGGCGGGGGGAGACAGUUUCUGAGGGCAGCAGGGCAGGGUGCUGAUGGAGCCUGCCAGUCUCAGCCAUGGACCCGUGGGGUCACCUUCCCGAGGCCAGCACCUCCGCUCUCCAGCCACGUGGCCAUAGGCCGACUGCUGACUUCUUGGGUCCUUGGUGUUCUCAUUUGGAAAAUGGGACAUAAGAGCUGCUUCGUGGGGUCAUGGGAAUGUCAGAAGCCCCUGCCCAGCGUGUGGCACUAAGUGUGGGGGGCUUUCUCCCCCUGCUCCUGGGCCUGAGUGCUGUCAGGAGUGUGACCAGCACCCCGUCCGUUUUGUCCCACAUCCUCCACCCCUAGCUACGGCGAUGGUCAUCCUGUCCCCGUGGGCUCAAGAUGGCCUUGGGUUUGCUUUUAACUUGAGUGUGCCUCUUCCCAGGUAAGAACACGGCUACACAGAAAACGCCGGCUCCUGGAGAGAACCUUCGACCUCUGACCUCUGCUCUGUUCCUGCCCCAGGGCCUUUGCCCCUGCUGCCCCUCCCACAAAAGGUUCUCAAGGCUCGUGGACUCCCACUGUCCUUGCUAAGACCAGCUCUGGCUCCACCCCACCCUGUAGGCUCCCUGUCUUUUCCUUGGGGUCAAGCUGUUUCUGUCCCCACUAGAAAUGGGCCCUGUGCAGGCAGGGAUGGGGGCUCAGUGGGUACAUGGCGUGGUCAUCCCUCCGCAAAUGUCAAUGGAGACAAUGAGCUCAGUGUUAAUAACAUGAGUUCUUUCUUUAGAAGUCUGCACGACGGCCCCAUCUUGUGCCUCUUCCUUACCAGCUGGAAUGGGAGUCUCAUCGCUACACCCAGGAGAACAUCAUGAGAACUGGGGCUGAGGAGCACAGCUGGGGGUGGACACGCAGCACAGUCACUGCCCAGGUCAUGGUGGGUUGUGGCCCUGGGGAGCAAAGGUUCCCUCUGCAAAGCCAUCCAGGCUGUCCUUGCCCAGCCCCAGGCCCUCUCAUUCACUUGUUUGCGGCGCCCACUGUGCCUGUCUGUCUGCAUCCCCUGCUAGAGAGCAGUCCCCCUGAGGGCAGGGCCCGGCCGUUAGGAGAUACUCAUCCAGUGCUACUGAAUGUCGGGUUAGAAAGUGAAUGAGUUGGCUGGGCGCGGUGGCUCAAGCCUGUAAUCCCAGCACUUUGGGAGGCCGAGA